GACGAACGCUGGCGGCGUGCUUAACACAUGCAAGUCGAACGGUGAAGCUCCAGCUUGCUGGAGUGGAUCAGUGGCGAACGGGUGAGUAACACGUGAGCAACCUGCCCCUGACUCUGGAAUAAGCGCUGGAAACGGCGUCUAAUACUGGAUACGAGAAGGGUCCGCAUGGGCACUUUCUGGAAAGUUUUUCGGUUGGGGAUGGGCUCGCGGCCUAUCAGCUUGUUGGUGAGGUAAUGGCUCACCAAGGCGACGACGGGUAGCCGGCCUGAGAGGGCGACCGGCCACACGGGGACUGAGACAGGGCCCAGACCCCUCAGGGGGGAAGCGGUGGGAAAUAUUGCAAAAGGGGCAAAAGCCGUGUGCAGCGACGCCGGGUGGGGGAGGACGGCUUUCGGGUUGUAAACCUCUUUCAGCAGGAAAGAAGCGAAAGGGACGGUACCUGCAGAAGAAGCACCGGCUAACUACGU
rnacentral:rRNA from 1 species